CAUUAUCGUUGUUCGAAGUAUCACUUUACAUUGACUUAUACGAUCUUGUUUCAAGCUAUCCAAUAAAAUUUCGUGAUAUACCGCAUCCUACAAAUACGAAUUUUCAAUUAGCUAAUGAAAGGAUAAUCGCAUGGUGUUAACUAAAUUUUUGAUAUCGCGACACCAAUCUUUGUUGCGCUCGAGUCCAUGGCACGUCUUUCUCUUCCUUGUAAAUAUUGCACAGCUCUGCGUGUUCUACCUAUAUCAUGUACAUACAAUAUGUAUUUAGGUCGUUGGACGAAACAUACUUGUAGUUCGAAACAUCGUUUCAUCUUUUGUUUCUUCUCGUAACGAAGCUUAUCUAAUUGACAGCGUUUCCUAUGGUUUUCCUCGCAAAUAGAUUCACAAAUGUGCUACGCGGGAGCAACGAAAAAGCCUAUCGUGAAAUGUUUGAGCCGUUUGGACCGUAUAAAUAAUAAUAAUCGAAUAAUAAAAUAAGAGGAAAAAGGAUUUACUUCUA